GUGAUGCUGCAAGACACACAGACAGGCACCGAGUGCAGGAUAUCUGCUGGCCUGAAGGACUGCAUCCAGAAGCGGGGCAGGCUGUUGCAUCUUCAUCAAGCUCUAGAUGAGUGCAAGACAGGAGAGGAUAGGGUGCAGUUUUUGGAGAAGCUGAUUCUCAAAAAGAGUUUUAGCUCCAGCUGUCCCUCCUGAAACACCACCUGUCAGGACCUGUCUAAAGCGGAGAGACAAAUGAGGAGGACGCGGACAACAACAAC